GGUUAAGCGACUAAGCGUACACGGUGGAUGCCCUGGCAGUCAGAGGCGAUGAAGGACGUGCUAAUCUGCGAUAAGCGUCGGUAAGGUGAUAUGAACCGUUAUAACCGGCGAUUUCCGAAUGGGGAAACCCAGUGUGUUUCGACACACUAUCAUUAACUGAAUCCAUAGGUUAAUGAGGCGAACCGGGGGAACUGAAACAUCUAAGUACCCCGAGGAAAAGAAAUCAACCGAGAUUCCCCCAGUAGCGGCGAGCGAACGGGGAGGAGCCCAGAGCCUGAAUCAGUGUGUGUGUUAGUGGAAGCGUCUGGAAAGGCGCGCGAUACAGGGUGACAGCCCCGUACACAAAAAUGCACAUACUGUGAGCUCGAUGAGUAGGGCGGGACACGUGGUAUCCUGUCUGAAUAUGGGGGGACCAUCCUCCAAGGCUAAAUACUCCUGACUGACCGAUAGUGAACCAGUACCGUGAGGGAAAGGCGAAAAGAACCCCGGCGAGGGGAGUGAAAAAGAACCUGAAACCGUGUACGUACAAGCAGUGGGAGCCUCUUUUAUGGGGUGACUGCGUACCUUUUGUAUAAUGGGUCAGCGACUUAUAUUCUGUAGCAAGGUUAACCGAAUAGGGGAGCCGAAGGGAAACCGAGUCUUAACUGGGCGUUAAGUUGCAGGGUAUAGACCCGAAACCCGGUGAUCUAGCCAUGGGCAGGUUGAAGGUUGGGUAACACUAACUGGAGGACCGAACCGACUAAUGUUGAAAAAUUAGCGGAUGACUUGUGGCUGGGGGUGAAAGGCCAAUCAAACCGGGAGAUAGCUGGUUCUCCCCGAAAGCUAUUUAGGUAGCGCCUCGUGAAUUCAUCUCCGGGGGUAGAGCACUGUUUCGGCAAGGGGGUCAUCCCGACUUACCAACCCGAUGCAAACUGCGAAUACCGGAGAAUGUUAUCACGGGAGACACACGGCGGGUGCUAACGUCCGUCGUGAAGAGGGAAACAACCCAGACCGCCAGCUAAGGUCCCAAAGUCAUGGUUAAGUGGGAAACGAUGUGGGAAGGCCCAGACAGCCAGGAUGUUGGCUUAGAAGCAGCCAUCAUUUAAAGAAAGCGUAAUAGCUCACUGGUCGAGUCGGCCUGCGCGGAAGAUGUAACGGGGCUAAACCAUGCACCGAAGCUGCGGCAGCGACACUAUGUGUUGUUGGGUAGGGGAGCGUUCUGUAAGCCUGUGAAGGUGUACUGUGAGGUAUGCUGGAGGUAUCAGAAGUGCGAAUGCUGACAUAAGUAACGAUAAAGCGGGUGAAAAGCCCGCUCGCCGGAAGACCAAGGGUUCCUGUCCAACGUUAAUCGGGGCAGGGUGAGUCGACCCCUAAGGCGAGGCCGAAAGGCGUAGUCGAUGGGAAACAGGUUAAUAUUCCUGUACUUGGUGUUACUGCGAAGGGGGGACGGAGAAGGCUAUGUUGGCCGGGCGACGGUUGUCCCGGUUUAAGCGUGUAGGCUGGUUUUCCAGGCAAAUCCGGAAAAUCAAGGCUGAGGCGUGAUGACGAGGCACUACGGUGCUGAAGCAACAAAUGCCCUGCUUCCAGGAAAAGCCUCUAAGCAUCAGGUAACAUCAAAUCGUACCCCAAACCGACACAGGUGGUCAGGUAGAGAAUACCAAGGCGCUUGAGAGAACUCGGGUGAAGGAACUAGGCAAAAUGGUGCCGUAACUUCGGGAGAAGGCACGCUGAUAUGUAGGUGAAGCGACUUGCUCGUGGAGCUGAAAUCAGUCGAAGAUACCAGCUGGCUGCAACUGUUUAUUAAAAACACAGCACUGUGCAAACACGAAAGUGGACGUAUACGGUGUGACGCCUGCCCGGUGCCGGAAGGUUAAUUGAUGGGGUCAGCGCAAGCGAAGCUCUUGAUCGAAGCCCCGGUAAACGGCGGCCGUAACUAUAACGGUCCUAAGGUAGCGAAAUUCCUUGUCGGGUAAGUUCCGACCUGCACGAAUGGCGUAAUGAUGGCCAGGCUGUCUCCACCCGAGACUCAGUGAAAUUGAACUCGCUGUGAAGAUGCAGUGUACCCGCGGCAAGACGGAAAGACCCCGUGAACCUUUACUAUAGCUUGACACUGAACAUUGAGCCUUGAUGUGUAGGAUAGGUGGGAGGCUUAGAAGUGUGGACGCCAGUCUGCAUGGAGCCGACCUUGAAAUACCACCCUUUAAUGUUUGAUGUUCUAACGUUGACCCGUGAUCCGGGUUGCGGACAGUGUCUGGUGGGUAGUUUGACUGGGGCGGUCUCCUCCUAAAGAGUAACGGAGGAGCACGAAGGUUGGCUAAUCCUGGUCGGACAUCAGGAGGUUAGUGCAAUGGCAUAAGCCAGCUUGACUGCGAGCGUGACGGCGCGAGCAGGUGCGAAAGCAGGUCAUAGUGAUCCGGUGGUUCUGAAUGGAAGGGCCAUCGCUCAACGGAUAAAAGGUACUCCGGGGAUAACAGGCUGAUACCGCCCAAGAGUUCAUAUCGACGGCGGUGUUUGGCACCUCGAUGUCGGCUCAUCACAUCCUGGGGCUGAAGUAGGUCCCAAGGGUAUGGCUGUUCGCCAUUUAAAGUGGUACGCGAGCUGGGUUUAGAACGUCGUGAGACAGUUCGGUCCCUAUCUGCCGUGGGCGCUGGAGAACUGAGGGGGGCUGCUCCUAGUACGAGAGGACCGGAGUGGACGCAUCACUGGUGUUCGGGUUGUCAUGCCAAUGGCACUGCCCGGUAGCUAAAUGCGGAAGAGAUAAGUGCUGAAAGCAUCUAAGCACGAAACUUGCCCCGAGAUGAGUUCUCCCUGAGACUAUAAGUCUCCUGAAGGAACGUUGAAGACGACGACGUUGAUAGGCCGGGUGUGUAAGCGCAGCGAUGCGUUGAGCUAACCGGUACUAAUGAACCGUGAGGCUUAACCUU
rnacentral:rRNA from 1 species